AAUCAGGCUAUAAAAGAGCGAUCAAAGCAAUCUUUCUAUUGAGGCCUUCGGGAGCCAAUGUGUGCGAGCUUCUUAUCCAAUUUAUCUCCUUCUCUCUCUGGCUAGCCCUUCGCUCAUCUACAGGGUGGCCAACGCCACGGCCACGGAGGUCCGGGCCAAACACAACCACUUUGUCUCCAUCGGCAACUACGAGGACCACACCGGCCUCAGCUGCUUCAGCCCCGUGUUGAACAUCAUGCGCCACCCGCUGUGGGGCAGGAACCAGGAGACUUAUGGGGAGGACCCAUUCCUGACCGCAGAGCUGGGGGUGGCUUUCGUGAAGGGCCUGCAGGGCGACCACCCUCGUUACGUCAAGGCCAGCGCUGGCUGCAAGCAUUUCGAUGUCCACGGUGGCCCCGAAAAUAUCCCCACCUCCCGGUUGUCCUUUGAUGCCAAGGUGAGCGAGCGUGACUGGCGCAUGACCUUCCUGCCUCAAUUUGAAGCCUGCGUUCGAGCGGGAACCUUCAGCCUCAUGUGCAGCUACAACAGGUAUGUACGUGUGUUGAUGCCCGCUCUCUAAGUGUGGGAUGCCAGUAAAAUCCUAGCAGGAUGCAAGAUGUA
rnacentral:lncRNA from 1 species